CGCCCGCCACAUGAGGCUGUGGAAGCGCCGUGGAUCCAGGAGGAGUGGGGUUGGUGGGUUGAUCUGUCGUCCUUGGAGCUAUAUGGUAGUUGGACGGAGCAUCGGAUCCCACUACUGUAACCCCACCAACGCUAGUAACUGCUUCUCUAACUUCCAUUUCCUUAAACCCUGAGGAAUUCCCCUCUUUUAUGCUUCACUGAAAAAAAUCUUUCUCCUUCGUUUUUUUCAGGAGAAACCCAUUUGAACUUUCUGC
rnacentral:lncRNA from 1 species